GUAGGUGGCAAGCGUUGUCCGGAAUUAUUGGGCGUAAAGCGCGCGCAGGCGGUCCUUUAAGUCUGAUGUGAAAGCCCACGGCUCAACCGUGGAGGGUCAUUGGAAACUGGGGGACUUGAGUACAGAAGAGGAAAGUGGAAUUCCACGUGUAGCGGUGAAAUGCGUAGAGAUGUGGAGGAACACCAGUGGCGAAGGCGACUUUCUGGUCUGUAACUGACGCUGAGGCGCGAAAGCGUGGGGAGCAAACAGGGAUUAGAUACCCUGGUAGUCCACGCCGUAAACGAUGAGUGCUAAGUGUUAGAGGGUUUCCGCCCCUUUAGUGCUGCAGCUAACGCAUUAAGCACUCCGCCUGGGGAGUACGGCCGCGAGGCUG
rnacentral:rRNA from 1 species